GACCAAACACAUUGACAUUGACUGUCAUUUUAUAAGAGAAAAAAUUCAGAAAGGACUAGUCAGAACAUAAUAUAUAUCAACCAAAGAUCAGCCAACAUAUAUCCUUACAAAAAGCUUAAGUAGGCUACAACAUAAAGUUCUCAUGUCCAAGCUAGGAAUGUUUAAUCUAUUUAUCACUCCUAGCUUGAGGGGGGCUGUUGGAAAGAAUGACAAUGUAAGGCCCAAUGCAAAUUGUGGCCCAAUACACUAAUAUGGCCCAUAUACUUAGGUAGUUAAAUUAGUUAACUAUAAAUACCCUCAUUGUAUUCUUAACGAAAGUAAGAGGUCUUCUUGACUCUAUACAUGUUGAUUCAAUAAUAUUUCCUCUUCUCCUCUUCUCGUAAGUUCUUCAUUCUUAUCCUCAUUCUUGAGGAUCUUGAGUAUAAUAGUAAUUCAGUUCAUGCAACUUCCAAACUUGUGAUGAUCUGCAAAAUUAAUUAACAAGUAAUUAGGAGCAUGUGUUGAAAUAAUAAAAAGAUUAAAAUGGUGUUAGACGACGUUACGUACCAUAUUUGUUGAUGAGAAAUUUGUAACAAUGACCAAGAGAACAUCCAACAUUAGAAAUUUGUAACAAUGACCAAAACAACAACUGAUAAGACAUGCACUCAGAGCGUGUUCGUUUCCUCCACACAUUCCGCUGCACAUUUGUCCAUGUC
rnacentral:lncRNA from 1 species